GUUUGCUGUUUGCUGUCGCUGCCUGUGAAGUCUUCCUAGUGUUCUCCUGGAUUUUUGUAACCUGAUUCAAGACACCCUGUGCCAGAUGCAGUAAAGCAGCCCCAGGAAAAAACAAGCCUCCUCCAUGUUGCACAGUAGGGAAAGUGUUGCUGAAGUGGACUGGGAGAGGAAUCCUCACCACCAGUUUCACCACCAGACAGAGUGGAGAAGGCCACACAGAUUGAUGGACCAGAUAUCUUCCUCGGUAGAAGGAAGACGAUUUCCUCUGUAUCCAUGCCUCAUUGUUUGAUUCUGGAAACUCAAAAACACCAGAUCAGCAUUUUCUUCACCCCAAAGCAAACACAAGAACAUGUGAGAAAUCAAAUGUAGAUUAUAGGUUAUACAGAGGCAUUUUUAAAUUGCUGUUAUUAAGAAUAUUGAUCAUAAGGUGGAAAACAUGGACUAGAGGAAAGGCAACUGGUUUUGUCCAAAUAAAAUAAU